rnacentral:rRNA from 1 species
UGAGUAAGAAAAUGUUGUUGUUGUACCUUUUGUAUCAGGGGGAUUUAAAAUUUAAUUUAGAAUAGACCGAAUCAACCAGAAUUUAUUUUAGUCUAUUAGUGGGAAUUAAUAGUUUAAGUUAGUAAGAGAUGAAAAGUCUACGGUGGUUGUUGUAUCUGAUUGUUUUGAUUAUUAAAAUAGAAAAGUAUUUUGAAAUUUAUGAGGUGCUGUUGAUAGAGAAAACUAGGCUUUGAAUUAGCUAUGUUGUUAUAUUGUUUUUAAAAAUUUUUUAUGCUAAAAAUGGGUAUAAAAUUAAUAGACUUUGUAUAGUAUUUAUUUUUGUGUUAAUAAUGAAUUUAUUGAAUUAGGAAUGGAACUUGAAAAUAACUCAUGUUGAUGCAGAAAGUUUAACAAAAACAUUUUUUUUUGUUAAAGUAAAAGUAAGACCUGCCCAAUGAAUUUUUAAUGGCUGCGGUAUUUUGACUGUGCUAAGGUAGCAUAAUCAUUUGCUUUUUAAUUGGGGGCUGGAAUGAAAGGUCAAACUGUAUUUGUUAGUUUGGUUAGUUAAAAAAUAAAUUUAAGUAAAGGUAAUAAUGCUUUUAUAACCUAAGGGACGAUAAGACCCUAGAAGCUUAAUAAUUGGGUAGUAAUAGUAAUACAAGUAAAAUUGAUUGACUGGGGUGGUAACAGUACUUAAACUAUUGUGUUAUUUAAAAGAUCCUUUAAUUAAAGAGAGAAUGUGAUAGUUACUCUAGGGAUAACAGCGUAAUAUUUUUGGAGAGAUCGUAUCGAUAAAAAUGUUUGCGACCUCGAUGUUGAAUUAAAAUAUCUAAGCGGAGUAGUAGAUGCUAGCAAGAAGGUUUGUUCAACC